CGUAAACGAUGAGUGCUAAGUGUUAGGGGGUUCCGCCCCUUAGUGCUGCAGCUAACGCAUUAAGCACUCCGCCUGGGGAGUACGACCGCAAGGUUGAAACUCAAAGGAAUUGACGGGGGCCCGCACAGCGGUGGAGCAUGUGGUUUAAUUCGAAGCAACGCGAAGAACCUUACCAGGUCUUGACAUCCUUUGACCACUCUAGAGAUAGAGCUUUCCCUUCGGGGACAAAGUGACAGGUGGUGCAUGGUUGUCGUCAGCUCGUGUCGUGAGAUGUUGGGUUAAGUCCCGCAACGAGCGCAACCCUUAUUGUUAGUUGCCAUCAUUAAGUUGGGCACUCUAGCGAGACUGCCGGUGACAAACCGGAGGAAGGUGGGGAUGACGUCAAAUCAUCAUGCCCCUUAUGACCUGGGCUACACACGUGCUACAAUGGACAGUACAAUGAGCAGCGACACGGCGACGUGAAGCGAAUCUCAUAAAGCUGUUCUCAGUUCGGAUUGUAGGCUGCAACUCGCCUACAUGAAGCCGGAAUCGCUAGUAAUCGCGGAUCAGCACGCCGCGGUGAAUACGUUCCCGGGCCUUGUACACACCGCCCGUCACACCACGAAAGUUUGUAACACCCGAAGUCGGUGAGGUAACCGCAAGGAGCCAACCGCCUAAGGUGGGAUAGAUGAUUGGGGUGAAGUCGUAACAAGGUAACCAAGGGCGAAUUCCAG
rnacentral:rRNA from 1 species